rnacentral:rRNA from 2 species
GCGGAGGAAAAGAAACCAACAGGGAUUGCUCUAGUAACGGCGAGUGAAGCAGCAAUAGCUCAAAUUUGAAAUCUGGCGUCUUCGACGUCCGAGUUGUAAUUUGUAGAGGAUGCUUCUGAGUGGCCACCGACCUAAGUUCCUUGGAACAGGACGUCAUAGAGGGUGAGAAUCCCGUAUGCGGUCGGAAAGGCGCUCUAUACGUAGCUCCUUCGACGAGUCGAGUUGUUUGGGAAUGCAGCUCUAAAUGGGAGGUAAAUUUCUUCUAAAGCUAAAUAUUGGCCAGAGACCGAUAGCGCACAAGUAGAGUGAUCGAAAGAUGAAAAGCACUUUGGAAAGAGAGUUAAAAAGCACGUGAAAUUGUUAAAAGGGAAGGGAUUGCAACCAGACUUGCUCGCGGUGUUCCGCCGGUCUUCUGACCGGUCUACUCGCCGCGUUGCAGGCCAGCAUCGUCUGGUGCCGCUGGAUAAGACUUGAGGAAUGUAGCUCCCUCGGGAGUGUUAUAGCCUCUUGUGAUGCAGCGAGCGCCGGGCGAGGUC